GAUGAACGCUGGCGGCGUGCCUAAUACAUGCAAGUCGAGCGAACGGACGAGAAGCUUGCUUCUCUGAUGUUAGCGGCGGACGGGUGAGUAACACGUGGAUAACCUACCUAUAAGACUGGGAUAACUUCGGGAAACCGGAGCUAAUACCGGAUGAUAUUUUGAACCGCAUGGUUCAAAAGUGAAAGACGGUCUUGCUGUCACUUAUAGAUGGAUCCGCGCUGCAUUAGCUAGUUGGUAAGGUAACGGCUUACCAAGGCAACGAUGCAUAGCCGACCUGAGAGGGUGAUCGGCCACACUGGAACUGAGACACGGUCCAGACUCCUACGGGAGGCAGCCGUAGGGAAUCUUCCGCCAAGGGCGAAAGCCUGACGGAGCAACGCCGCGUGAGUGAUGAAGGUCUUCGGAUCGUAAAACUCUGUUAUUAGGGAAGAACAUAUGUGUAAGUAACUGUGCACAUCUUGACGGUACCUAAUCAGAAAGCCACGGCUAACUACGUG
rnacentral:rRNA from 1 species